UACGUAGGGUGCAAGCGUUAAUCGGAAUUACUGGGCGUAAAGCGUGCGCAGGCGGAUCGCUAAGUCAGGGGUGAAAUCCUGGAGCUCAACUCCAGAACUGCCUUUGAUACUGGCAAUCUCGAGUCCGGGAGAGGUGAGUGGAACUGCGAGUGUAGAGGUGAAAUUCGUAGAUAUUCGCAAGAACACCAGUGGCGAAGGCGGCUCACUGGCCCGGUACUGACGCUGAGGUGCGAAAGCGUGGGGAGCAAACAGG
rnacentral:rRNA from 1 species